GAACGCUGGCGGCGUGCCUAAUACAUGCAAGUCGAACGCACUUUCGUUAGAUUGAAGAAGCUUGCUUCUGAUUGAUAACAUUUGAGUGAGUGGCGGACGGGUGAGUAACACGUGGGUAACCUGCCCUAAAGUGGGGGAUAACAUUUGGAAACAGAUGCUAAUACCGCAUAAAACCUAGCACCGCAUGGUGCAAGGUUGAAAGAUGGUUUCGGCUAUCACUUUAGGAUGGACCCGCGGUGCAUUAGUUAGUUGGUGAGGUAAAGGCUCACCAAGACCGUGAUGCAUAGCCGACCUGAGAGGGUAAUCGGCCACACUGGGACUGAGACACGGCCCAGACUCCUACGGGAGGCAGCAGUAGGGAAUCUUCCACAAUGGACAAAAGUCUGAUGGAGCAACGCCGCGUGAGUGAAGAAGGUUUUCGGAUCGUAAAACUCUGUUGUUGGAGAAGAACGUAUUUGAUAGUAACUGAUCAGGUAGUGACGGUAUCCAACCAGAAAGCCACGGCUAACUACGUG
rnacentral:rRNA from 1 species